AUUGAACGCUGGCGGCAGGCUUAACACAUGCAAGUCGAGCGGUGAUGAGGUGCUUGCACCUUAUCUUAGCGGCGGACGGGUGAGUAAUGCUUAGGAAUCUGCCUAUUAGUGGGGGACAACAUUCCGAAAGGAAUGCUAAUACCGCAUACGUCCCACGGGAGAAAGCAGGGGAUCUUCGGACCUUGCGCUAAUAGAUGAGCCUAAGUCGGAUUAGCUAGUUGGUGGGGUAAAGGCCUACCUAGGCGACGAUCUGUAGCGGGUCUGAGAGGAUGAUCCGCCACACUGGGACUGAGACACGGCCCAGACUCCUACGGGAGGCAGCAGUGGGGAAUAUUGGACAAUGGGGGAAACCCUGAUCCAGCCAUGCCGCGUGUGUGAAGAAGGCCUUAUGGUUGUAAAGCACUUUAAGCGAGGAGGAGGCUACUGAGACUAAUACUCUUGGAUAGUGGACGUUACUCGCAGAAUAAGCACCGGCUAACUCUGUGCCAGCCGCCGCAGUAA
rnacentral:rRNA from 1 species